GCUCUGCUCCCGCGCCCGGUCUCUGCGAGUCCAAUCCGAGGCUUCGAGUGCACCACAGAGCAAAACGAUUGGCAGCUGCCGAGAGGAGGGGUGGGUCCAGGAGUGGUUCAGCCUUCUCUGCUACCUUUUAGGCAGGAUACUGUUUUGGGAAUGAUAUUGGGUCCAGAGAAAAACCUUGUUUUGUGGACUCAUGUGGAAAGGGUUUGGGUACACCGGCCAUGUCUGGCAGAGUGCAGAAACGCCCAAGGGCAGUUGACUCAUAAGUUUGACUGGUGAAGAGUAAUUUGCUCCAGUCUAAAGGAAGGAAUACAGCACAUGGGGCAGGGAGCAAGAUAUGCUAGGCCCCUGGUUGAAACUAUCUUAAAGAUAAACGAGCCUUUUUAUACAUUUUUUCCACUGGCAGAAGAUGACUCUUAAGACACUUUUAUCAAAACCUAAAGCAUGAAUAAUAAAACUCGCUGUUUGCAAAGUACUUGCUAUUAUAUAUACUAUUAGAAUUCAGCAGGCAUCAGGUACCUGCCAGAAACCCAGUUCAAAAGCCACUAGUAUAAUUUUAGAGUAUCUGAGUCAAAAUAGUUGUUCUGCAUGUACCUUAUGCAGGUUUUCUUUGGCAAAGUGUGAUUUGGAACAGCUUCUUUAGCGCAAUGCCCCAUUUCUUCAUUGACUUUCUACCUAUAAAGAGUAGCUGUAAUAAUGUGGAUCUCUGAGAAAAAGAUUUUUUGAUCUUAGUGUCCUGAACCUGUAAGUUGAGCACUCUGGAGGCUGAGGUAGAAGUGUGGAGCCGUGGAGGCCAACCUGGGUUAAAUAGUGAGCUCCAGGUAAUCCUGGGCUAAUGGCAAGACACCCCACCCCACCCCAUACAUAUAUUGUACAUGUAUAUGUAAGCAUAUACUGAACUUAGUCAUAUACAGCACUGUUUGGUACAUAAACAGCAUUUGCUACAUAUACAGCAACCUAAAGAGGAAGCUUCAAAGGGUCUGAUUCAGGUUGGUACAAAUUCUAUUCAACAAAUUACCCAAAGCUAAUCGGAACCAACUCUGUAACCAGAUUCCCAAAGUGGGUUGGCUAGAAGUUUCCAGCUACAUCCCAAUGUGAUGAUGUGUUGAUUUACCUCAGUUUGGGACUCUUUUCUGUCCCAGAGCCUCAGAGAUAAAAUGUCAGUGAAAGUCCUGCUAUAGUUACCUGACAAAGUAAAGCCCUUUGAAAGUGGUUCUUCUUCUGGUCCAUUACUGUAUGCUUACAAAUAUGUUUUUGAACCACAAAUCUGAACAGCCACUUCCAGACUGGAAGACACCCAGUGGCCUUCGUGCCCUCCAGAAUAAGUCCUGCCCUGUUAAAAUGGCAUAGAAGAUCUUUUGUGACUCCUUCCAAUCCACUCAAUCUCUGUCCAUGUCUCCGUCACACGUAAUAGUUAUUGAUGCUGGACAGGAAGCAAAAUUGGUCAAGUUAAGCAUCUAGUGCGGACGGAUGGUGUAAAUACUUUAAUACUGGCUGCCAGAGUCACCUGGGAGGAGAAAACUUCCACUGAGAAACUGCCUAGAUCGCAUUGGCCUGAGGGAGUCUAAUGUCUUGAGUGACAACCUAUGACCUUGUGAAGAUCGUCACACCUUUGGAUUCUUGUAUGUGCUGCUGAAAGAAUUGAGUGGCCUGAGGCCAGAGUAAAACACACAGGGCUGCACACCAUUCUUAGAGCACUUAAAGCACAUGAAUCAAAUUAACCAAUUGCUCAAUAAAAUACCUCGUUGAAUGGAUAUUUGUAAAAACAGAAUAAAAGGCGUAUAGAG
rnacentral:sRNA from 1 species